AACGUACGCUGGCGGCACGCCUAUCACAUGCAAGUCGAACGAAGUAGCAAUACUUAGUGGCAGACGGGUGAGUAACAUGUAGGUAUCUGCCCUUUGGCCUGGAAUAACACGAGGAAACUUGUGCUAAUACCGGAUAAGUCUUUACGGAGAAAGCUUUAUGCACCAUUGGAUGAGCCUGCACUUGAUUAGUUUGUUGGUGGGGUAAUGGCCUACCAAGACUGUGAUCAAUAGCUGAUUUGAGAGGAUGAUCAGCCACAUUGGGACUGAGACACGGCCCAAACUCCUACGGGAGGCAGCAGUGGGGAAUCUUGCACAAUGGAGGAAACUCUGAUGCAGCGAUGCCGCGUGAGUGAAGAAGGCCCUUGGGUUGUAAAGCUCUUUCGUCGGGGAAGAAAAUGACUGUACCCGAAUAAGAAGGUCCGGCUAACUUCGUG
rnacentral:rRNA from 1 species